AUCUAGCUAUAGCUUCAGAGAUUAUACAUUUCUAAUUUUUUCAGAAAGUUGUUUUCAUUGCAAGCUAAAGCUUGCUAUUAGCUAGCCAGCUGGAGUUCGAUGGCUGGCUUGUUAACCAAAUAACGUUAGGUUCAAUGUUAGUUAACUUUGGCUUGCAAUCAGUUUGUAUUGCUAGUAACGUUACUCUAUGGAUUGGUAUUAUAGUUAAUUUUUUUGCUUGCUAACGCCAUCGCUCAUCCAUAUAUUUAUAUGUACAUAUUCUUAUUCAUCCCUGUUAUAUUUGCGUCAAUGUGUUUGUAUAAGGUAGUUGUUUGUGUGUAUUUGUUAGAUUACUUGUUAGAUUUUACUGCAUAGUCGGAGCUAGAAGCACAAGCAUUUCGCUACACUCGCAUUAACAUCUGCAUGUGACCAACAAAAUUUGAUUUGAUUUUGAAGACCCCCGCUUGUUGUUAGCUAGCUAAUGUUAGCAGAGGUUAGGUGGGUGGAUUGCUAUCUAACAUUAGCUUAUGUGUAUGAGGUGUGUGUAACGUUAGUGAUUUCUCAGAAUGCCAUUUCGCAUUGCUAGUUAUGGCCUAAUGUUAGCUAGCAAACUAUCUAACAUUGAACUUAUUGGUUAACUAUGACAAUCGGUUUGUAUUGCCAGUUAAAGCUUGCUGUUAGCUAGCCAGCUGACGUUAGAUGGCAGGCUAGCUACAGUAGCUAACAUUACCUGUAUGAACUGUGUGUAGUGAUGUUAUCGCAGAAUGCCAUUUCGCAUCUAUUGUAUAAUUAUGCUAAAAUAUUUGUAUCUGGAAUUUGUCUUUCAGCAUCAAUCAGUAGAACCGGCCUGACUAAUCCGCCAGCCAGUCAUCAAAAAGAGAGCUGGCCCAGGCAAGCAAAGACUGCAGCGCAGUCAUUAACUACAUGCACCAUUUCUUCACUAACUACAGAGAUGAAAAAUCAAAUGUGGACCUGAAUUGUGAUAACUGCAGUGGCCAAAACAAGAACAGGUUUGUGAUCUGGUAUUGUGCCUGGUGGACCAUGCACAAGCUCCACCACAAUCUGGACAUUCACUUCCUCAUCACAGGCCACACCAAGUGUGCUCCUGACAGGUGCUUCGGCCUCAUCAAGCAGUGAUUCAGAAAGACCAGAGUGAACACUUUGUCUGAGAUUGCUGCUGUUGUGAAGGACAGCACUGUGACAGGGGUCAACAUCCCACAGCUGGUUGGACUGGAGGAUAAUACGGUGCUGGUGGAAAGCUAUGGCUGACUCUGUACUGCCACAGAUCAAGCAGUACCAGCACUUCAGCUUUGAUGCUCUGGAGCCUUGGUGUUGUUCACGCCAAGGAGCGUUCGCACUGUUGGGACCAGGUUUUAGCUGCUGAGCAACUCUGACAUCCCAUAGAUGGCAUGCCUAUACAAGCACCACCUGGACUGGACACAGCUAGACAAACAUAUAUUUUUGAGAAGAUCAGGGUGUUUUGCGACGGACCAGUCAUCAGCACUAUCUGCAGUGCCUCUAUUCAAAUGACUCUCUAGUAACACACACGGCAUACGUUGCUGCUACAAUUGUUGGGGUUUAUCCUGCUGCUCAGCCACUACCCCAGAUUGUGUAUAUAUAUAUAUAUAUAAAUACCUCGUCUAUCAUUGAUAAUGUUCUUGCACAUCCUGUAUAUUUGAUAAAUAUUGACACUAUUUCUGAUAUUGCUACUAUGCAAGUAACCAUUUGGCUGUACCAUUUACAGCUGCAGUAGAGACCAUCCACUUAGCAAGACUUAGCAAAAUAUUGAUAUAUAUCAAAUUAAUAUUUAUGUGUGGUCGUAACAUGAUUUUGUGGCAUACCACAACAAUAUCAUGUGACCGUAUCAAGUGUCCAGCACAUAAAUACAUGGCGCAUGCAUCUGUUUAUGUACUGUACAUGUGCAAAAUAAAUAAACAUAUGUGCAAUACUGUGAUAAGUACACGUGUAACAGUAUAUGAAAAUGUUCUGGUGUGAAGGCAUUUGGGCAGUGGUGUGAAGUACUUAAGUAGUACUUUGAAGUAUUUUUAUUUAAUGUAAUUUUUGUGGUAUCUGUACAUUACUUUAUUUAUAUUUACUAUAUUAUAUACUUUUAUAUUUACUAUAUUAUAUACUUUAUUUAUAUUUACUAUAUUCGUAAAGAAAAAAAUGUACUUUUUACUCCAUACAUUUUCCUUGACUCCCAAAACUACUUGUUGCAUUUUGACAGGAAAAUUGUCCAAUUCACACUUAUCAAGAGAACAUCCCUGGUCAUCACUACUGCCUCUGAUCUGGCGGACUCAUUAAACACAAAUGCUUUGCUUGUAAAUUUUGUCUGAGUGUUGGAGUGUGCCCCUGGCUAUCCAUCAAAAAAAUUAAAAAUAAUUGUGCCGUCUG